rnacentral:rRNA from 1 species
CCAAUAGCGUAUAUUAAAGUUGUUGCAGUUAAAAAGCUCGUAGUUGAACUUCGGGGUUCACCCAUUGGUCAGGCUUAAUUGUCUGUACUGGUGAGAUGAGUCUCUACCUUCUGAGGAACUUUCAUGCCAUUUAUUUGGUGUGAUGGGAAAUCAGGACUGUUACUUUGAAAAAAUUAGAGUGUUUAAAGCAGGCUAACGUCUGAAUACAUUAGCAUGGAAUAAUGAAAUAGGACGGAUUGAUUCUAUUUCGUUGGUUUCUAGGGUCACCGUAAUGAUUAAUAGGGAUAGUUGGGGGCAUUAGUAUUCAAUUGUCAGAGGUGAAAUUCUUGGAUUUAUUGAAGACUAACUACUGCGAAAGCAUUUGCCAAGGAUGUUUUCAUUAAUCAAGAACGAAAGUUAGGGGAUCGAAGACGAUCAGAUACCGUCGUAGUCUUAACCAUAAACUAUGCCGACUAGGGAUCGGACGCAGUUAAUUUUAUAAUGACGUGUUCGGCACCUUACG